CCACUACUGGCAGCCAUCGGCCCCCGCUACGCCCUACUUGUACCGUACCAACGAUGACGACACAACACCCGACACGCUCCCAUACUCCUACCUGACCACUGCCCACACACCACCAGCGCAGCCUCACCUCACAUCCACCGCAAGCCCGCACACACAACCACAACACCAACAGCUAUGCUCCCUUUACGCCCGCCCAACACUCUUCACUCCCUCACUCCCUCACUCCCUCCCUGCCUGCCUCACACCCGACUCCGGUGCCACGGCGACACCUGCCGCUCGCGCCGGGAACCGACACUCGCAUCCGACCCUGGACCGCGAACGUCCAUGUGGUGCCUGUCCUAGUACAAUGAUCCAGGUUCCUCAGCUUCCCUUCCCUGGGAAAGUAUCCCUGGUUCCAGUUGAGAACUCCGAUCCUGUGUCGAGGCUGAACCCCCAACAACAGUGAACAUGGAAAUUUAAGAAAAUUGGAAUGGAAAAAGCAGAAAGUCAAGAGAAAUAAGGAAAUAAGUGCAUUAUAAACACAUUUUUUUUCCUUCUCCUACUGAGUCUGUAUGUACAGAAGGGUCUAGGACUGGGAUUAAAAACAUGUCCACAAAA
rnacentral:lncRNA from 1 species